GCUGGGCAUGGUGGCGAGUGCCUGUAAUCCCAGCUAUUAGGGAGGCUGAGGCAGGGGAAUCAUUUGAACCUGGGAGGUGGAGGUUGCAGUGAGCCAAGAUUGUGCCACUGCCCUCCAGCCUGGGCAACAGAGUGAGACUCUGUCUCAA
rnacentral:SRP_RNA from 1 species